rnacentral:ncRNA from 2 species
AGCAGCCGCGGUAAUUCCAGCUCCAAUAGCGUAUAUUAAAGUUGCUGCAGUUAAAAAGCUCGUAGUUGAAUUUCGGGACCAUCAUGUCGGUCGUGCCUCGGUACGUACUGGCAUUGUUGGUUUCUACCUUCUGACGAACCAUGAUGUCAUUUAUUUGGUGUCGUGGGAAAUCAGGACUGUUACUUUGAAAAAAUUAGAGUGUUUAAAGCAGGCUCACGCUUGAAUACAUUAGCAUGGAAUAAUGAAAUAGGACGUUUGAUUCUAUUUUGUUGGUUUCUAGGAUCGACGUAAUGAUUAAUAGGGAUAGUUGGGGGCAUUAGUAUUCAAUUGUCAGAGGUGAAAUUCUUGGAUUUAUUGAAGACUAACUACUGCGAAAGCAUUUGCCAAGGAUGUUUUCAUUAAUCAAGAACGAAAGUUAGGGGAUCGAAGACGAUCAGAUACCGUCGUAGUCUUAACCAUAAACUAUGCCGACUAGGGAUCGGAUGAUGUUAAUUUUUUCAAUGACUCAUUCGGCGCCUUA